CGACGACGGGUAGCCGGCCUGAGAGGGCGACCGGCCACACUGGGACUGAGACACGGCCCAGACUCCUACGGGAGGCAGCAGUGGGGAAUAUUGCACAAUGGGCGGAAGCCUGAUGCAGCGACGCCGCGUGAGGGAUGACGGCCUUCGGGUUGUAAACCUCUUUCAGCAGGGACGAAGCGCAAGUGACGGUACCUGCAGAAGAAGCACCGGCCAACUACGUGCCAGCAGCCGCGGUAAGACGUAGGGUGCGAGCGUUGUCCGGAUUUAUUGGGCGUAAAGAGCUCGUAGGCGGCUUGUCGCGUCGACCGUGAAAACUUGGGGCUCAACCCCAAGCCUGCGGUCGAUACGGGCAGGCUAGAGUUCGGUAGGGGAGACUGGAAUUCCUGGUGUAGCGGUGAAAUGCGCAGAUAUCAGGAGGAACACCGGUGGCGAAGGCGGGUCUCUGGGCCGAUACUGACGCUGAGGAGCGAAAGCGUGGGGAGCGAACAGGAUUAGAUACCCUGGUAGUCCACGCUGUAAACGUUGGGCGCUAGGUGUGGGGGGCCUCUCCGGUUCCCUGUGCCGCAGCUAACGCAUUAAGCGCCCCGCCUGGGGGAGUACGGA
rnacentral:rRNA from 1 species